UUGACGGUACCCUACUAGAAAGGAGCCGCUAACUUCGUGCCAGAAGCGUCGGUAAUACGGGGGCUCCAAGCGUUAUCCGGUGUUAUUGGGCGUAAAGAGUCGUGUAGGUGGUUGGGUAAGUUAUCUUUCAAAUAUCUUUGCUUAACAAAGAGGAGGGGGAUAAUACUGCUCGACUAGAAUUUUCUCAAGGGAGAUCGGAACUGAGGGAGGGGUAGUGAAAUGCGUUGAUACCCUCGGGAACACCAGUGGCGUAGGCGGAUCUCUGGGAGAAGAUUGACACUGAGACACGAAAGCUAGGGGAGCGAAGCAGAUUAGAGACCUGCGUAGUCCUAGCCGUAAACGCAUGCUUGCUAGCUGCAUGAAUCUACCUUCGGGUGGUAUCGUGUGGCGAAGGUAACCCGUUAAGCAAGCCGCCUGGAAAGUACGGCCGCAAGGCUGAAAUUCAAAGGAAUUGGCGGGGAGGCACACAACCAGUGGAACAUGUGGUUUAAUUCGAGACUAACCGAAGAACCUCACCAGGGUUUGACAUGUAGCUGCACGUCUUAAGAAAUUAAGACUCUCUUGAAGGUGCUACACAGGUGCUGCAUGGCUGUCGUCAGCUCGUUCCGUGAGGAGUGCCCUUAAGUGGGACAACGAGCGCAGCCCCUAUUACAUGUUAGAAAUGUCAUGUAAGACUGCCUUGCCAUUUGGCGGGGAGGAAGGAGGGGCAGACGUCAAGUCCGCAUGGUCCUUAUGCCCUGGGCUACACACAUGUUACAAUGAGUACGGCAAUGAGUCUGUCGCGAGCACGUAAGUGUAAGCUAAUCUCUUAAAUGUACUCUCAGUGGGGAUUGAGGUCUGCAACUCGACCUCAUGAACACGGAAUUGGUAGUAAUCGCGGGUCAGCUAUACCGCGGUGAUACGUUCUUGCCUCUUGCACACACCGCCCGUCAAACCAGCAAAGU
rnacentral:rRNA from 1 species